GACGAACCGAGCGAACGUUAUUCGGAAUCACUGGGCUUAAAGGGUGCGUAGGCGGGCACGUCAGUCAGGGGUGAAAUCCCACGGCCCAACCGUGGAAGUGCCUCUGAUACUGCGGGCCUAGAGGGGGACAGGGGCAUGCGGAACUUCCGGUGGAGCGGUGAAAUGCGUAGAGAUGCGGAGGAACACCGAUGGCGAAGGCAGCCCCCUGGGCUAACACUGACGCUCAGGCACGAAAGCGUGGGGAGCAAACAGG
rnacentral:rRNA from 1 species